CCAGGUUAGAUUCUCAGGCCCU
rnacentral:miRNA from 1 species